rnacentral:rRNA from 1 species
GACGGACGCUGGCGGCGUGCUUAACACAUGCAAGUCGAACGAUGAACCCGGAGCUUGCUCCGGUGGAUUAGUGGCGAACGGGUGAGUAACACGUGAGUAACCUGCCCUUGACUCUGGGAUAACUGCGGGAAACUGUAGCUAAUACCGGAUACGACCCUCGGCGGCAUCGCCAGGGGGUGGAAAGAAUUUCGGUCAAGGAUGGACUCGCGGCCUAUCAGCUAGUUGGUGAGGUAACGGCUCACCAAGGCGACGACGGGUAGCCGGCCUGAGAGGGUGACCGGCCACACUGGGACUGAGACACGGCCCAGACUCCUACGGGAGGCAGCAGUGGGGAAUAUUGCACAAUGGGCGAAAGCCUGAUGCAGCGACGCCGCGUGGGGGAUGACGGCCUUCGGGUUGUAAACCCCUUUCAGCAGGGAAGAAGCGCAAGUGACGGUACCUGCAGAAGAAGCACCGGCUAACUACGUGCCAGCCGCCGCAGUAA